CGGCGGACGGGUGAGUAACGCGUGGGUAACCUACCCUGUACACACAGAUAACAUACCGAAAGGUAUGCUAAUACGGGAUAAUAUAUUUGAGAGGCAUCUCUUGAAUAUCAAAGGUGAGCCAGUACAGGAUGGACCCGCGUCUGAUUAGCUAGUUGGUAAGGUAACGGCUUACCAAGGCGACGAUCAGUAGCCGACCUGGGAGGGUGAUCGGCCACAUUGGAACUGAGACACGGUCCAA
rnacentral:rRNA from 1 species